AUAAUUUACUUUUUAUAAUAGUAUACACUUUCAUCUCAAUUAUUAUUAUUAUUUUGCUAGGUUAUUACCUCCUAUUACAACAGAAAUAUGGUAUGCAGAAAUAAUAAUGUUCUGUAUAAAAUAAUUUUAACAUGAAAUUAAAAUUUACAUACAAUUUGCUCGAGAAAGGAGGAAAUCUCCUUUUAAGAAUCACGUUUAAUAAUAAUAACAUAUAUUACCCAUCUCAAAUAUUUGUGCCCAGCAUCUCAUUUCAGAGUAAGUAUGAGUUCUUCCCUUGUUUCUUUUAUUUAUUCUUAAUUUUGCCCUCUAUGUCGAAUUCUCAGGCCCAUAAUUUAUUUUAUUAAAAUAAAUUUAUAUUUUCGAAAAUUACCCAAACAUUAUGCA
rnacentral:lncRNA from 1 species